CCAUAUCACGUUGAAUCAACGGUUCUCAUACGAUCAUGAAGUUAAGCAACGCCGAGCCUGGUCAGUACCUAGAUUGGUGAACUCUUCGGAAUAUCAGGUGCUGUAA